rnacentral:rRNA from 1 species
UGGGGAAUCUUGCACAAUGGGGGCAACCCUGAUGCAGCGACGCCGCGUGAGCGAUGAAGCCCUUCGGGGCGUAAAGCUCUUUCGACCGGAACGAUAAUGACGGUACCGGGAGAAGAAGCUGCGGCUAACUACGUGCCAGCAGCCGCGGUAAUACGUAGGCAGCAAGCGUUGUUCGGAGUUACUGGGUGUAAAGAGUGCGUAGGCGGUUUUCUAAGUUCGGUGUGAGAUCUCCCGGCUUAACUGGGAGGGUGCGCCGAAGACUGGGAAGCUGGAGUGUGGGAAAGGCAGGCGGAAUUCCUGGUGUAGCGGUGAAAUGCGUAGAUAUCAGGAGGAGCACCGGCGGUGUAGACGGCUUGCUAGACCAUAACUGACGCUGAGGCACGAAAGCGUGGGUAGCAAACA